GACAGUUCGGUCCCUAUCUGCCGUGGGCGCUGGAGAACUGAGGGGGGCUGCUCCUAGUACGAGAGGACCGGAGUGGACGCAUCACUGGUGUUCGGGUUGUCAUGCCAAUGGCACUGCCCGGUAGCUAAAUGCGGAAGAGAUAAGUGCUGAAAGCAUCUAAGCACGAAACUUGCCCCGAGAUGAGUUCUCCCUGACUCCUUGAGAGUCCUGAAGGAACGUUGAAGACGACGACGUUGAUAGGCCGGGUGUGUAAGCGCAGCGAUGCGUUGAGCUAACCGGUACUAAUGAACCGUGAGGCUUAACCUUACAACGCCGAAGCUGUU
rnacentral:rRNA from 1 species